UCCCUGGCAGUCCAGUGGUUAGGACUUAGCACUCUGACUGCUGGCGCCCCAGGUUCAAUCCCUGGCUGGGGAA